rnacentral:tRNA from 1 species
CGGGGUAUAGCGCAGUUGGUAGCGCGCCACGUUCGGGACGUGGAGGUCGGCAGUUCAAGUCUGCCUAUCCCGA